rnacentral:rRNA from 1 species
UACGAAGGGGGCUAGCGUUGCUCGGAAUCACUGGGCGUAAAGCGCACGUAGGCGGCUUCUUAAGUCAGGGGUGAAAUCCUGGAGCUCAACUCCAGAACUGCCUUUGAUACUGGAUGUCUUGAGUUCGGGAGAGGUGAGUGGAAUGCCGAGUGUAGAGGUGAAAUUCGUAGAUAUUCGGCGGAACACCAGUGGCGAAGGCGACUCACUGGCCC